CAAACCAAAAAAACGUUUUCGAAAUAACCAAAAUAAAAGCCAUAAAUGCAAUGUAACAGUGAUCAUAGGGAUUGUUACCGAAUUUUUAACAAUAAACUACAUAAAUAACAUGUAACACCAAACUCUAGAGCCAUAUUUGAGGUGCCUAAUGCGUUUCUACAGUCCUCUUGGGAUAUUUCACGUUGGACUGCGAUCUGUUCAAAUUUAUGAUUGUGUGACUACCGUGACCUGCGGGCCUAAAUCUUAGCCUUGAACAAAGAUCAUAAGUGGUGCCUCCUGAUCGUCUGACUUGUUCCUGUAUAUACAGUACGUAUACUACAUAUAUAUUGCAUUUAUGCAGAAUUAAAAAUACAAGAAUCUUACUCGCAAACUCCAUUGGCUGUGUUGCAGAACUUAUGCACUGGAACCAUUAUGCAUAUUUGGUACGAUAGUGGCACGGUAAUGGCACGAUAGUGGCACGGUAAUGGCACGGUAAUGGCACGAUAGUGGCACGGUAAUGGCACAGUAAUGGCACGAUAGUGGCACGGUAGUGGCACGGUAGUGGCACGGUAAUGGCACGGUAGUGGCACGGUAGUGGCACGGUAGUGGCACGGUAGUGGCACAAUUGCUCAGUCACAUUGUGGUGUUGGGUUAGAUGAGGAAAAUGACCAAAUGCUCCAGCUUUGUAGCCUGACUGAAGGGUUCACUCACCUUGAAAGCUUGCCAAUGAGCUGACCUCCGGCCACCGCCAAUAUUUGGAUGACGCUUGUUAUACGCAACACUUUAGUGAUAGAUAUUUAUAAUUAUUUUCUCGAAUAAAAACGAUAAACUACAGUGCCAUCAUGCGUGUGUGGUUGACAACGGCCGACUGGCAGCGCCCAAUAGACAUCUCCGGCUGCAUGCAAAUUGUCUACUCGUUGAAGAUAGCAGAUAACCAUAUCUCAUUCUAAUAUAUUCACGUGUAAUAGUAUUUGCAAAUUGAUUUCAACAAUUACCUCAACAAAGGGAAGAUACUGCUCUUCGGAUAUCUGUUGGCCUGAAAUAACUUAUUAGUCCACUGCUACUUCUGGGCUGUUGCAUUGCAUGAAACAAAGCUGCUUUGAACGAAUCUACAUCAACACUUUGUAUUUAGUUUAUAUUUAAUUUGUAUUUAACUUAUUGCUACCAAACGUAACCAGGUUUAUGCAUUUUAACAGGUGUGGUGACUGCCAGGUGACUGCCAGCUAGCUGCACGAUGUACUUUGUGAAGUGUUCACCUGAGGUGAUGUACUUUGUGAAGUGUUCACCUGAGGUGAUGUACUUUGUGAGGUGUUCACCUGAGGUGAUGUACUUUAUGAAGUGUUCACCUGCGGUGAUGUACUUUGUGAAGUGUUCACCUGAGGUGAUGUACUUUGUGAAGUGUUCACCUGAGGUGAUGUUUAAUGCCGCUGUACUUUGUGAAGUGUUCACCGGAGGCGGUGUUUAAUGCCGCUGUACUUUAUGAAGUGUUCACCUGAGGUGAUGUACUUUGUGAAGUGUUCACCUGAGGUAAUGUACUUUGUGAAGUGUUCACCUGAGGCGGUGUUUAAUGCCGCUGUACUUUAUGAAGUGUUCACCUGAGGUGAUGUACUUUGUGAAGUGUUCACCUGAGGUGAUGUAGUUUGUGAAGUGUUCACUUGAGGUGAUGUACUUUAUGAAGUGUUCACCUGAGGUGAUGUACUUUGUGAAGUGUUCACCUGAGGCGGUGUUUAAUGCCGCUGUACUUUAUGAAGUGUUCACCUGAGGUGAUGUACUUUGUGAAGUGUUCACCUGAGGUGAUGUAGUUUGUGAAGUGUUCACCUGAGGUGAUGUACUUUAUGAAGUGUUCACCUGAGGUGAUGUACUUUGUGAAGUGUUCACCUGAGGUGAUGUACUUUAUGAAGUGUUCACCUGAGGUGAUGCACUUUAUGAAGUGUUCACCUGAGGUGAUGUACUUUGUGAAGUGUUCACCUGAGGUGAUGUAGUUUGUGAAGUGUUCACCUGAGGUGAUGUACUUUAUGAAGUGUUCACCUGAGGUGAUGUACUUUGUGAAGUGUUCACCUGAGGUGAUGUACUUUAUUAAGUGUUCACCUGAGGUGAUGUACUUUGUGAAGUGUUCACCUGAGGUGAUGUACUUUAUGAAGUGUUCACCUGAGGUGAUGUACUUUAUGAAGUGUUCACCUGAGGUGAUGUACUUUGUGAAGUGUUCACCUGAGGUGAUGUACUUUUUGAAGUGUUCACCUGAGGUGAUGUACUUUGUGAAGUGUUCACCUGAGGUGAUGUACUUUGUGAAGUGUUCACCUGAGGUGAUGUACUUUGUGAAGUGUUCACCUGAGGUGAUGUACUUUUUGAAGUGUUCACCUGAGGUGAUGUACUUUGUGAAGUGUUCACCUGAGGUGAUGUACUUUGUGAAGUGUUCACCUGAGGUGAUGUACUUUGUGAAGUGUUCACCUGAGGUGAUGUACUUUGUGAAGUGUUCACCUGAGGUGAUGUACUUUGUGAAGUGUUCACCUGAGGUGAUGUACUUUAUGAAGUGUUCACUUGAGGUGAUGUACUUUAUGAAGUGUUCACCUGAGGUGAUGUACUUUGUGAAGUGUUCACCUGAGGUGAUGUACUUAGUGAAGUGUUCACCUGAGGUGAUGUACUUUGUGAAGUGUUCACCUGAGGUGAUGUACUUUAUGAAGUGUUCACCUGAGGUGAUGUACUUUGUGAAGUGUUCAUCUGGUGUGAUGUACUUUAUGAAGUGUUCACCUUAGGUGAUGUACUUUGUGAAGUGUUCAUCUGAGGUGAUGUACUUUGUGAAGUGUUCACCUGAGGUGAUGUACUUUAUGAAGUGUUCACCUGCGGUGAUGUACUUUAUGAAGUGUUCACCUGAGGUGAUGUACUUUGUGAAGUGUUCACCUGAGGUGAUGUAGUUUGUGAAGUGUUCACCUGAGGUGAUGUACUUUAUGAAGUGUUCACCUGAGGUGAUGUACUUUAUUAAGUGUUCACCUGAGGUGAUGUACUUUGUGAAGUGUUCACCUGAGGUGAUGUACUUUAUUAAGUGUUCACCUGAGGUGAUGUACUUUGUGAAGUGUUCACCUGAGGUGAUGUACUUUAUGAAGUGUUCACCUGAGGUGAUGUACUUUAUGAAGUGUUCACCUGAGGUGAUGUACUUUGUGAAGUGUUCACCUGAGGUGAUGUACUUUGUGAAGUGUUCACCUUAGGUGAUGUACUUUGUGAAGUGUUCACCUGAGGUGAUGUACUUUGUGAAGUGUUCACCUGAGGUGAUGUACUUUUUGAAGUGUUCACCUGAGGUGAUGUACUUUGUGAAGUGUUCACCUGAGGUGAUGUACUUUGUGAAGUGUUCACCUGAGGUGAUGUACUUUGUGAAGUGUUCACCUGAGGUGAUGUACUUUUUGAAGUGUUCACCUGAGGUGAUGUACUUUGUGAAGUGUUCACCUGAGGUGAUGUACUUUGUGAAGUGUUCACCUGAGGUGAUGUACUUUGUGAAGUGUUCACCUGAGGUGAUGUACUUUGUGAAGUGUUCACCUGAGGUGAUGUACUUUGUGAAGUGUUCACCUGAGGUGAUGUACUUUGUGAAGUGUUCACCUGAGGUGAUGUACUUUAUGAAGUGUUAACUUGAGGUGAUGUACUUUAUGAAGUGUUCACCUGAGGUGAUGUACUUUGGGAAGUGUUCACCUGAGGUGAUGUACUUAGUGAAGUGUUCACCUGAGGUGAUGUACUUUGUGAAGUGUUCACCUGAGGUGAUGUACUUUAUGAAGUGUUCACCUGAGGUGAUGUACUUUGUGAAGUGUUCACCUGAGGUGAUGUACUUUAUGAAGUGUUCACCUGCGGUGAUGUACUUUAUGAAGUGUUCACCUGAGGUGAUGUACUUUGUGAAGUGUUCAUCUGGGGUGAUGUACUUUAUGAAGUGUUCACCUUAGGUGAUGUACUUUGUGAAGUGUUCACCUGAGGUGAUGUACUUCGUGAAGUGUUCACCUGAGGUGAUGUACUUUGUGAAGUGUUCACCUGAGGUGAUGUACUUUAUGAAGUGUUCACCUGAGGUGAUGUACUUUGUGAAGUGUUCACCUCAGGUGAUGUACUUUGUGAAGUGUUCACCUGAGGUGAUGUACUUUGUGAAGUGUUCACCUGAGGUGAUGUACUUUAUGAAGUGUUCACCUGAGGUGAUGUACUUUAUGAAGUGUUCACCUGAGGUGAUGUACUUUAUGAAGUGUUCACCUGAGGUGAUGUACUUUAUGAAGUGUUCACCUGAGGUGAUGUACUUUAUGAAGUGUUCAUCUGAGGUGAUGUACUUUGUGAAGUGUUCACCUGAGGUGAUGUGAUUUGUGAAGUGUUCACCUGAGGCGGUGUUUAUCGCUAGACGUUCAGUGCUUUUUCAUUUAUAUAAGUGAAUGCAAAGUGGUCACCAUUUAAUUUCACAUUUAUUGUUUUUAACAUAAUUUUUACUCAAGCUCAUUUGAAAGUCACUGUAUUGCCUAGCAUGUUAAGAAUUAAUAAACGUAACAACAUAAUUCCG